ensembl:lncRNA
CCCCCCCACACCCCAAGCACAGACUCACAGAUAAAACAGCUUACAUUCAAACACCAAACAGCACAGGCGACUGACUGAAAACAUGUGAAGCCCAAGCAAACUCUCAUAGAAAAAGUAGCAUUGGGUUUCCACGUCAUCUGCCAACUCAAGGUUUAUGAAUAGCUAGUUUACGCCAGGCUCGCUCAGAGCCUAACGCUGUCAUAAUCCUCAUGGCCAACCCGGAACCAACAACUUUCCACCGGGUCUGGCCAAUCUACCUUUAUAGUAAAGUACCGCGCAGCGUAUAUGCCCCCUCUUGCUACUAUGCAACCCCAAGUGAAAAACUUAAAGUAGAAACCACUAUUUCCUAAGAGUUGAAAGCCCGAGGGCUGGCUGGGAAGCUGGAAGGGGGCAUAGCGAAGGCAAGAGGAAGAUACCCUAGCUUAGCAAUAUCUCUGAAGAGAUGCUGAAAUUAUUGAAGGCUCAUGAAAUUUAAGGGCAAGUAGGAUCUUCAGCGGCCGAUUCUGGGCUACCACUGAAGGGAAGAGCUACAUUUUCAAAGAAAAAGAGGAGAGACUUUGCAGAAAUGCUAACUUGGGAGUGGGGGCGGGUAAAAACAAAUGGGUCCUCUCUCACCCCUUUUGCUUCCCUCACCCGUGUCUGUGUCCUGCCCUCUCGGUGCCCUUCAGGGCUGCCACAAUUUCUUGCGCAGAGUUGGAUGUCGAACGGAAAAAUGCAUGAGGCUAUUAGUCUGGCAAGGACGCCUUGGGACUGGCAAUCCGCUAGGUUGGGGGAUGGGACAAGGACCCCCUUUGACCUCCCGGCUGAUGCCCUCUGGGAAUUAAAGGAGUGCUGCCGGCCACACAGUCCACACAGCAUUGGGACUAGACCCUGGUCGGGUCAAGUAGCCAUCCUCGGGGGGGGGGGGGGGGGGGGGGGGGUCACACUUUGUUUUAGCACGUAUAAAGAGUCUGGUUUACCCCCAAGCCAGGGGUACUAGGUCUUGAAGAAGGCAGUCACAGAGCUCCCAGAAUUAGGCAGGGUCCCAGAACGGAACAAUAGUUGGGGGUCAUGAUGGGUCAAGUCCCAUGUAUCCAGCUCCAUAUUCCCUGACAGUCUGGCUGGCUCUUGCUCAGACCCCUAGGGGCAAAGGUCCCCACAAGCUCCUUUAGGUCUGCUCAAAACCUAGCCCCCUUCCCUUCGGCCCCUUUCCCGUACUAGGCUGUCCUUGGAGCCUAGCCGCCGCAGACAAAGGGCUCCAACAGGUUAGUCGCCUGUCGGUGUCUCUUACCUCGGGACCGGGCUGGGGGGACCGGCCGCCACCGCCUUGGGGGUACUGCAGCUCCCCCCACUCUGUCCCCCACCUCAGUCAGCGCCGCCGUCGCCGCCGCCGCCUUCCGGGAGCUCUCAGCCGGGCAGUCUGAGCCAUGCCCCAACCACCGCCGCUGCCGCCGCCUCUCUGCGCCCCUCAGCCAGCUCCAUGCAGCUAGUCCGGGGCUCCCUGCGAUGCUCCCCAACGGGGGAGGAGAUGUGGGGGGAGCCGCCGAAUCACCCGGCCUGGGGGCUGGGGGCGGGGGUAGUAGGAGAAUCGCCGAGUGUGAGCGCGUGUGUCAGUGUAUGAGAGAAUGAAUGUGCGAAAGCCGGCGAGGUAGCGCCGGCGGGCUGCACGGGCGAUGCCUGAGGUUGGUCCUCUGCCUGCCUUCUCCUCCUCCUCUUCUCCAGCUCUCUCUCUUCCAAUCGCUCUCUCUCGCGCCUCCCCCCUCUCCCCCCGCCCGGGAGCCCUCUCCCUCCCCUAUCCGUCCCGUCUCGGGUUUGAACCCGCAGGUGGCUGUGAUGGAAAUGGAGAGGCAGUCAGGACCCUGGAAACCCUGAAGUUGGCAUUACUACACCAGGUAUAGUCAUGGGUGGGGCGGCCUUGGGGUAGCCUGAUGGUCAGUCUCAGCAGGACCUCUAACGAGCAUGCUCUCCAGCGGCCUGCCACCCCAGGGAGGGGAGGGGCC